UUUGGAAUCAUGAAGCUGAGAGGUUGGGUCGGAUCAAGGAGCAGGUUACUUCUCCCAGGAUUACCAGAGCUCUCACCCGGUUUGACUCCAAGAUGGUUCCAGAAGUAAAUAUUAUUCGUCAGUAUAUAAUGAAGAUAAGUGCACUACACAGUCAGUCAGUGUCAAAUAAGAAUUUCCUUGGAGGAUUAGCGAGUUCCAUAAGAAGCCUGGAGAGAGUGCGGAUGGGGGAGACAACAGAAUUAUUUUCUAAAAUAUAUAUGUAUAUAUUCAUACUCAAGGAGAACGCACCAUACUAUAACA